UAUUUAUUAGAUAAAAAACCAAUGCCCUUCGGGGCUCCUUGGUGAAUCAUAAUAACUUAACGAAUCGCAUGGCCUUGCGCCGGCGAUGGUUCAUUCAAAUUUCUGCCCUAUCAACUUUCGAUGGUAGGAUAGUGGCCUACCAUGGUAUCAACGGGUAACGGGGAAUUAGGGUUCGACUCCGGAGAGGGAGCCUGAGAAACGGCUACCACAUCCAAGGAAGGCAGCAGGCGCGCAAAUUACCCAAUCCCGACACGGGGGGGUAGUGACAAUAAAUACUGAUACAGGGCUCUUUUGGGUCUUGUAAUUGGAAUGAGUACAAUUUAAAUCCCUUAACGAGGAACAAUUGGAGGGCAAGUCUGGUGCCAGCAGCCGCGGUAAUUCCAGCUCCAAUAGCGUAUAUUAAAGUUGUUGCAGUUAAAAAGCUCGUAGUUGAACCUUGGGCCUGGCUGGCCGGUCCGCCUCACCGCGUGUACUGGUCCGGCCGGGCCUUUCCUUCUGGGGAACCUCAUGCCCUUCACUGGGCGUGUUGGGGAACCAGGACUUUUACUUUGAAAAAAUUAGAGUGUUCAGAGCAGG
rnacentral:rRNA from 1 species